UCCACUUUACGUGCACCUGUCUCUUCCUCCUAUUAACGUGCAGCAUAUCUUCUCCACUUUUUACAUUUGCCAGAACUGUAAAAACUGCUAAACUUUCAGAUAUCCCUCCAAAUGCCCUUUGUUUAUUAAUUGUUUAACGUAGAGAUAUUUAAUCAAAGAGGGUAAAAGAGUAAACCUUCAACAAUAGAAAGAUAGAAACCACUCUAGAGUAGUUUUCUUCUGUCCCUCAAACUCUCCCGCAUUCGCAAUCAUGGUUUUCUUCUUCUCAAGUUCUCUCUUUCUUCAAAAUGUUCCACUCCACUCUUUUCGAUCAAUGCGAGAGGCUUGAUCGCGAGAUGAAAUCUUUGUAGAUAGAUAUGUAGUGGCAAGAUGGCAACGUUGACGUAUAUAAGAGGUGAAGUGAGAAUUGCAUUUUAUGCUGCCACUGGAAUUGCAGAUAUCCUCCUAGCCUCCACAUUGUAUGAUAAAUCAUGAUCCACUUUGUGGUUGAAGCUUUUACUUUAUCCCGUUUGGGUUAGCAUGCAAAUGAUUUGCUAUGAACGGGAAUGAUAGAUUAUUAAUUUUCAUGGUCUCAAUUUUUUGCUUUUGCAGGGUCACGACUUAAACAAAAGCACGAAGACUGCACAAAUAUAAAUGUAAGGUAUGCUUAUGCAGUUUUCCAUAUCGCAAAUUUGAUAUCUGAACUCCAGGUCUAACUCUUUUUUUCCUUCUUUUUCUGAAAGUCUUGAAGAUUUGGAAGAGAUGUGGCUGAGGGCAUUAUCUCUCUCGCCCUGUAUGUGUUUGCUUCUCAAAUAUGGAAAUUGCAAUCUGAAUAUUAUAACUGAUUCAAUGUCAAUAAACAGAAGUGGAGUAUAUGGAUGAUGCACGUCUUGGAAACUAAAUAGAUUGUUCUUCGAUUCUCACAUUAACAUACAGGGCCAUACAGUGUACGUGGAAGUGUACAAUUUUCUAAAAGAUUUUAGGAUUUGUGAUCUUACUGUUUUUUUCCUUCCUAACUUUGCAGGUAUUUCUUAGAGGCGCAAGAGACUAGCUGCCCAAAAUGAGGUAUGCAUUAUUAUGAUCGUCUUAGUUCUAAGAGGAUUGCUGCAACUAUUUUAAAAGGGUUUCAGUACUAGAGCUAUUUUGAAAGGGUUUUAAUAGAGAUUUCUGAUGGGAUUCCUUGAUUAAUUACAGGAGACAAAUACACGUUCUGUUAUUGGUUAGCUUACUCAGGUCGAGAUCCUAGAUGGUUACUUUUUUUCUUUGUUCAAGUUCAAAGUUGAUGGUUCACGUACAAUUGAUGGAUUCAGCCAAGGUUUGAUUUGAAAGUGAAAUUUUGUCUUCACACAUUUUGCUGCACGUGUAGACAUGAAGUCCUCCUUUUUCUUUUUCAUAGUGUUACUGUAAGAUGCUUGAAUCCUAUGGUUGAGAGGUUGAUUUCAUUAGCAGUUAACAAGUUUUCAUUUCUUCAUACAUACAGUAGAAGUUGACAUUAUUUUUUAUACAGUUGAUAAUGUCAAAUGAGUCUCACUGCUCAAUUUUGUGAUUUCCCAAUUUCAUUUUCACAUGUUUUGACCAUUCAGUUUGUC
rnacentral:lncRNA from 1 species